AUGGGCAUUCGCGGGCGUAUGUUCCGUUCUUCCGGCCGGUCGAUCCAUUAGCUAGCCAGCCUUGUUCGGUGCGUCCUGGAUGGAUUAGUCAAUGUGCUUAAAUCCUUGUACUUGUGUCCCACUGUAAAAAGAAUCACUUUAGGCUGUGGGGAAAAUAAUAUGCGUUUGUCUUCGUGGCGGAAGAAGUACUGGGAGCAACCUACGACCGUGACCUGUGCGGCUGUGCCAACUUAUUUUAUACUAUACUAAUUACUCGCAUUUUUGUAGAAACAUAUUAAACUACAAACUACACAAAAAUCUCCUCAAUCCAAUCAAGCAUAUAUCCGCUGAGAACAAAUAAAUUAUGAACCGAUACAGAAACUGCAUGCUGGUGCCUUACCCUGAUCAAUCAUGUUUGAUCACCAAGCCUUUUAUGCUUCUACAGCCACAUCUAAGCUCCAUUGUCAAUCAUCAACAUGAACCGGCAUUUCUCUCACGGACUUAACCACGUUGAUGCACAUCGAAAGUCUACCAAUAAGAACGCCAUCUGUGGAGCCUUUUAUUCUUCCAUGGCCACAUCUAAGCUCCGUUGACAAUCAUCAGCAUGAACCGGCAUUUCUCUAAUGGACUUAACCACGUUGCUGCACAUAGAAAGUGUACCAAUAAGAACGCCGGCCGGCCAACCGACGACCAUUAACAGAUAUAUCGAUCUGAAGAAAAGAAAUAUCACAAAGGAUAAUCGUCUUUUCUAUAACACCUAGAGAUAAAGGUACUAAUAUCAAUUAUUAGAUACAUAAUAUUUAGAGAUACAGACCAUCAAUGUAUUAAUCCUAGCUCAAGGAGACGGAACUGAAGUAUUGUAACGAAUGUGUGAAAUGAAAUUUUACCUAGCUGGCGGAUCAGGUUUAAACACUGUACACAUUUUUUGCAUGUAUCCAUAACAUACAUGAUGUAUAUGCUAUGGCAUGGAUCUGAGCAUGUCAUCUGCAAUUAAUGCAGGUUCCUGGAUGCCACACAUAGAGCUGCAGGCGCUGGGGUUACUCUAUUUCUCGAGCAUCUCUUGUGUUUGUGUGACGGCUUCCCAUGCUCCGGUGGGAGAUGUGUCAUGGGAAACCCAGGGCCAGGUCUAGAGGGUUGGACACCUUGUGCUUCCCGGAGAAAUCAAAUAUAGCCAAGAUGGCAAGAUAUAUAUCUAUAAGUACACCUGUCGGGCAUAGUUGUGCUCCGAACCCAUCUCUUUGAGGCACCCACAAAUUGUACGUGAGAAGAAUUAGGGUGAAAUCCAAAUCCUGAUAAGGAUGAAUUCUAGCACACCACGAUCAAAAGUGAGACAAUUGUUUUUAAUCCGAAUCCAAAUUAUAAAAUAGGAUGGUAAAACAGCAAGAAAAAGAUUCAACAAAAAAUAGUUUUAGGAGGAACCUGAUCUAGAUCACGAAAACAAUUCUAAAGCAGUAAGCCUCUUUACCACCCGAGAUCCAUGGCCCCUCUUGGUUUUCUUAGAUCUAUGCCCACAUUUGCUUUGCAUUAGUUUGAGAGAGAUAAUGGCUUUGAUUUUGUUGCGGGAGAGACAUUAGGGAGAACAAACGACCGUGAAAUAGUUCCAUGAGGAGAGAGAGAGAGAUAAUGGAGAGGAAGGGACGGUGGGCUAGAUAUUAGUUCCAUGGGGGAAAGAGAGAGAUAAUGGAGAAGACGGGAAGUUGGGCUGUAUAUUUGUAUUUCCACAGGGGAGAGAUAGAUGGAUGGAAUACUUUCCAUCGUGGGGAGAGGAAAAAAGAGCAAGGAAGAUUAGGGUGAAAGGAUUCCUAUGGGUUAAUCUCCACCUCACUAAUUCGGCCCAUCAAAUAAACCUUCCGGUUAAUCACCACCGUAAUAAUUCGGCCCCACCAAAUAAACAGCUAUUAAUUU
rnacentral:lncRNA from 1 species